rnacentral:tRNA from 1 species
GCCGCGUUGGUCUAGGGGCUUAGGACGCCGCCCUCUCACGGCGGAAAUCAGGGGUUCGAAUCCCCUACGCGGUACCA